CAGGUGUCACCUGUGUCUGACAGUUUAACUUUAACAUUAGGAAGUUGGUUGGGUAUUCCAGGAUUACCAAUUGUCACCUUAUAUAGUGCUUGGGAUUCUACCGUUAACUCCUAUCGAAACAAACAAGGUGGGGGAAGUAGAGAAAGUACCUUACCGUUAUUGGCUGGUUUGAAUACUGAUCAUCACUGUAGCAAAAUAAUCGCUCUUCCACUUUGGGCAGGACUUCAGUGCCUUGGAGUUGAUGGAGUCCAGUCUAGAAUAAAAGAAAAUUUCAUAGCAUGCGAAAAACUAUGGACUGCUUUGGAUGUCUUUCGCCACGUCAGAGUUUUGAGUCCUAAACCUGGAGGUGAGAGUGGCAUCUAUAAAGUUUCCGAGUUGGUAACGAAACCGUCAAAUAUAUCGGUAAGUUGAAAUAUCACUGAAA